rnacentral:lncRNA from 1 species
UUAGCUCUCCCUUCUUGCACAUUUUCCAAGCUGUUCUAUUCUCCUCCAGUGUAGCAAUAUCAGCAACAACAGGGUAUCUAUAGAUCUGAAAUCAUAACUGCAGAUGAUUCUCAAUUAACAAAGAGGAAAACCGUUUUCUUUUAUAACUUUGGUUCUGAAAUAUAUAACAAAAUGCAAAGACCUUUGCUUCUGAAAAGGAGCAAAAUUUUGUCAACCAAUUCAUAGUAAAAAAGAAGAAACUAGUGAACCUAACCAGAGAAAAUGCUAACCUAC